rnacentral:rRNA from 1 species
GGUUAAGCGACUAAGCGUACACGGUGGAUGCCCUGGCAGUCAGAGGCGAUGAAGGACGUGCUAAUCUGCGAUAAGCGUCGGUAAGGUGAUAUGAACCGUUAUAACCGGCGAUUUCCGAAUGGGGAAACCCAGUGUGAUUCGUCACACUAUCAUUAACUGAAUCCAUAGGUUAAUGAGGCGAACCGGGGGAACUGAAACAUCUAAGUACCCCGAGGAAAAGAAAUCAACCGAGAUUCCCCCAGUAGCGGCGAGCGAACGGGGAGCAGCCCAGAGCCUGAAUCAGUGUGUGUGUUAGUGGAAGCGUCUGGAAAGGCGCACGAUACAGGGUGACAGUCCCGUACACAAAAAUGCACAUACUGUGAGCUCGAUGAGUAGGGCGGGACACGUGGUAUCCUGUCUGAAUAUGGGGGGACCAUCCUCCAAGGCUAAAUACUCCUGACUGACCGAUAGUGAACCAGUACCGUGAGGGAAAGGCGAAAAGAACCCCGGCGAGGGGAGUGAAAAAGAACCUGAAACCGUGUACGUACAAGCAGUGGGAGCACAGAGCAAUCUGUGUGACUGCGUACCUUUUGUAUAAUGGGUCAGCGACUUAUAUUCUGUAGCAAGGUUAACCGAAUAGGGGAGCCGAAGGGAAACCGAGUCUUAACUGGGCGUUAAGUUGCAGGGUAUAGACCCGAAACCCGGUGAUCUAGCCAUGGGCAGGUUGAAGGUUGGGUAACACUAACUGGAGGACCGAACCGACUAAUGUUGAAAAAUUAGCGGAUGACUUGUGGCUGGGGGUGAAAGGCCAAUCAAACCGGGAGAUAGCUGGUUCUCCCCGAAAGCUAUUUAGGUAGCGCCUCGUGAAUUCAUCUCCGGGGGUAGAGCACUGUUUCGGCAAGGGGGUCAUCCCGACUUACCAACCCGAUGCAAACUGCGAAUACCGGAGAAUGUUAUCACGGGAGACACACGGCGGGUGCUAACGUCCGUCGUGAAGAGGGAAACAACCCAGACCGCCAGCUAAGGUCCCAAAGUCAUGGUUAAGUGGGAAACGAUGUGGGAAGGCCCAGACAGCCAGGAUGUUGGCUUAGAAGCAGCCAUCAUUUAAAGAAAGCGUAAUAGCUCACUGGUCGAGUCGGCCUGCGCGGAAGAUGUAACGGGGCUAAACCAUGCACCGAAGCUGCGGCAGCGACGCUUAUGCGUUGUUGGGUAGGGGAGCGUUCUGUAAGCCUGCGAAGGUGUGCUGUGAGGCAUGCUGGAGGUAUCAGAAGUGCGAAUGCUGACAUAAGUAACGAUAAAGCGGGUGAAAAGCCCGCUCGCCGGAAGACCAAGGGUUCCUGUCCAACGUUAAUCGGGGCAGGGUGAGUCGACCCCUAAGGCGAGGCCGAAAGGCGUAGUCGAUGGGAAACAGGUUAAUAUUCCUGUACUUGGUGUUACUGCGAAGGGGGGACGGAGAAGGCUAUGUUGGCCGGGCGACGGUUGUCCCGGUUUAAGCGUGUAGGCUGGUUUUCCAGGCAAAUCCGGAAAAUCAAGGCUGAGGCGUGAUGACGAGGCACUACGGUGCUGAAGCAACAAAUGCCCUGCUUCCAGGAAAAGCCUCUAAGCAUCAGGUAACAUCAAAUCGUACCCCAAACCGACACAGGUGGUCAGGUAGAGAAUACCAAGGCGCUUGAGAGAACUCGGGUGAAGGAACUAGGCAAAAUGGUGCCGUAACUUCGGGAGAAGGCACGCUGAUAUGUAGGUGAAGUCCCUCGCGGAUGGAGCUGAAAUCAGUCGAAGAUACCAGCUGGCUGCAACUGUUUAUUAAAAACACAGCACUGUGCAAACACGAAAGUGGACGUAUACGGUGUGACGCCUGCCCGGUGCCGGAAGGUUAAUUGAUGGGGUCAGCGCAAGCGAAGCUCUUGAUCGAAGCCCCGGUAAACGGCGGCCGUAACUAUAACGGUCCUAAGGUAGCGAAAUUCCUUGUCGGGUAAGUUCCGACCUGCACGAAUGGCGUAAUGAUGGCCAGGCUGUCUCCACCCGAGACUCAGUGAAAUUGAACUCGCUGUGAAGAUGCAGUGUACCCGCGGCAAGACGGAAAGACCCCGUGAACCUUUACUAUAGCUUGACACUGAACAUUGAGCCUUGAUGUGUAGGAUAGGUGGGAGGCUUUGAAGUGUGGACGCCAGUCUGCAUGGAGCCGACCUUGAAAUACCACCCUUUAAUGUUUGAUGUUCUAACGUUGACCCGUAAUCCGGGUUGCGGACAGUGUCUGGUGGGUAGUUUGACUGGGGCGGUCUCCUCCUAAAGAGUAACGGAGGAGCACGAAGGUUGGCUAAUCCUGGUCGGACAUCAGGAGGUUAGUGCAAUGGCAUAAGCCAGCUUGACUGCGAGCGUGACGGCGCGAGCAGGUGCGAAAGCAGGUCAUAGUGAUCCGGUGGUUCUGAAUGGAAGGGCCAUCGCUCAACGGAUAAAAGGUACUCCGGGGAUAACAGGCUGAUACCGCCCAAGAGUUCAUAUCGACGGCGGUGUUUGGCACCUCGAUGUCGGCUCAUCACAUCCUGGGGCUGAAGUAGGUCCCAAGGGUAUGGCUGUUCGCCAUUUAAAGUGGUACGCGAGCUGGGUUUAGAACGUCGUGAGACAGUUCGGUCCCUAUCUGCCGUGGGCGCUGGAGAAUUGAGGGGGGCUGCUCCUAGUACGAGAGGACCGGAGUGGACGCAUCACUGGUGUUCGGGUUGUCAUGCCAAUGGCACUGCCCGGUAGCUAAAUGCGGAAGAGAUAAGUGCUGAAAGCAUCUAAGCACGAAACUUGCCCCGAGAUGAGUUCUCCCUGACUCCUUGAGAGUCCUGAAGGAACGUUGAAGACGACGACGUUGAUAGGCCGGGUGUGUAAGCGCAGCGAUGCGUUGAGCUAACCGGUACUAAUGAACCGUGAGGCUUAACCUU